GUCCGGCUAGCUCAGUCGGUACAGCAUGGGACUCUUAAUCCCAAGGUCGUGUGUUCGAGCCCCACAUUGGCCG